rnacentral:rRNA from 1 species
AUUUAACUUGAGAGUUUGAUCCUGGCUCAGAACGAACGCUGGCGGCAUGCCUAACACAUGCAAGUCGAACGAGAUCUUCGGAUCUAGUGGCGCACGGGUGAGUAACGCGUGGGAACCUACCUUUUAGUACGG